rnacentral:lncRNA from 1 species
GUGCUGCAUGGUCCGUGAAGAUAACAAUAGGACCGCCAAGGAUAUAAGGUCCUAUUUGGGGGAGCUUUUGGAGGGCCAAAAGUACUUUCUGAUCCUCCAAAAGUACUUUUAGAUAAAAAAUGGUGUUUGGUAAAAUUUUCGGAAAGCUGUUUCAGCUUUUGCGGAAAGCUAAAAACAGCUUUUGGAGAGAAGCUCCAAUUUGGAGCUUUCCGAAAACACUGUUUUCAGCUUUGUCGGGAAGUUGUUUUUUGAACCAAAAUAUCUUCAUUUAAAUCACACUUUUUUUUU